rnacentral:rRNA from 1 species
UACGUAGGUGGCAAGCGUUGUCCGGAUUUAUUGGGUUUAAAGGGUGCGUAGGCGGCCUUGUAAGUCAGUGGUGAAAUACUCCAGCUUAACUGGAGGGGUGCCAAUGAUACUGCAGGGCUUGAGUACAGAUGAGGUAGACGGAAUUGACGGUGUAGCGGUGAAAUGCAUAGAUAUCGUCAAGAACACCGAUAGCGAAGGCAGCUUACUGGGCUGUAACUGACGCUGAGGCACGAAAGUGUGGGGAUCAAACAGG